rnacentral:rRNA from 1 species
UAUCUCUGUAGAGUCUGCAUAUCAAUAAGCGGAGGAAAAGAAACUAACAAGGAUUCCCUUAGUAACGGCGAGUGAAGCGGGAAGAGCUCAAAUUUGAAAUCUUCAAGGUUUUACCUUGACGAAUUGUAGUUUAAAGAAGUGUUUUCUGUUGAAGUUUCGGUAAAAGUUCUUUGGAAUAGGACAUCAUAGAGGGUGAGAAUCCCGUAUUUGACCGUUAUUUUCAGCUGUGUGAUACACUUUCAAAGAGUCGGAUUGUUUGGGAAUGCAGUCCAAAAUGGGUGGUAAAUUUCAUCUAAAGCUAAAUAUUGGCGAGAGACCGAUAGCGAACAAGUACCGUGAGGGAAAGAUGAAAAGAACUUUGAAAAGAGAGUUAAACAGUACGUGAAAUUGUCAAAAGGGAAGCGUUUGACACCAGUGUUGUUUUCUCGAAAAUCGAUUAAAAAUGGCUUGAUUUUGUGUUGUAUUGACCUUAAAAGCUUUCUUCACUUUUUUCAUGUCUUUUUUAAUGCACUUUUCGUUUAACAAGUCAACAUCAGUUUCUUUUGUUGUAAAAAGGUCAUUGGAAGGUGGCUUUCUUUUCGGAGAAAGUGUUUAUAGCCUUUGACUCCUGCAAUCGGAGAGACUGAGGUCUGCAGCGUAGAUCCUUCUUGGAUUAGAUUCAUUUGUGCUAAGUUAUAGCUUUUCAUAGACAACUUGUUGACUAUGUUUAGUCUUGUAGCUUACUCGCUUAUGUAAUUUUACCUACGCUUAGGAUGUUGAUCUCUCACAGUCGAGC